rnacentral:rRNA from 1 species
GAUGAACGCUGGCGGCGUGCUUAACACAUGCAAGUCGAACGGAAAGGCCAGUGCUUGCACUGGUACUCGAGUGGCAAACGGGUGAGUAACACGUGGGUGAUCUGCCCUGUACUUCGGGAUAAGCUUGGGAAACUGGGUCUAAUACCGGAUAGGACAACUUUUUGGAUAUUGUUGUGGAAAGCUUUUGCGGUAUGGGAUGAGCUCGCGGCCUAUCAGCUUGUUGGUGGGGUAAUGGCCUACCAAGGCGUCGACGGGUAGCCGGCCUGAGAGGGUGUACGGCCACAUUGGGACUGAGAUACGGCCCAGACUCCUACGGGAGGCAGCAGUGGGGAAUAUUGCACAAUGGGCGCAAGCCUGAUGCAGCGACGCCGCGUGGGGGAUGAAGGCCUUCGGGUUGUAAACUCCUUUCGCUAGGGACGAAGCUUUUUUGUGACGGUACCUGGAGAAGAAGCACCGGCUAACUACGUG